UCGGGAAUAUUGGACAAUGGGCGCAAGCCUGAUCCAGCCAUGCCGCGUGAGUGACGAAGGCCUUAGGGUUGUAAAGCUCUUUUGGCGGGGAAGAUAAUGACGGUACCCGCAGAAUAAGCUCCGGCUAACUUCGUGCCAGCAGCCGCGGUAAUACGAAGGGAGCUAGCGUUGUUCGGAAUCACUGGGCGUAAAGCGCACGUAGGUGGGCAGUUAAGUCAGGGGUGAAAGCCCGAGGCUCAACCUCGGAAUUGCCUCUGAUACUGGCUGUCUAGAGUUCGAGAGAGGUGAGUGGAAUUCCUAGUGUAGAGGUGAAAUUCGUAGAUAUUAGGAAGAACACCGGUGGCGAAGGCGGCCCACUGGUCCGGUACUGACGCUGAGGUGCGAAAGCGUGGGGAGCAAACAGGAUUAGAUACCCAUGUAGUCCCUGAGCGGGCUGGCAAGGCGCAU
rnacentral:rRNA from 1 species